UUUGUCCAACGGUAAGGCCGGGCACUCUGGAUGGACUGCCGGCGACAAGCCGGAGGAAGGUGGGAUGACGUCAAGUCAUCAUGGCCCUUAUGUCCAGGGCGACACACGUGCUACAAUGGCCGGCACAGCGGGAAGCGAGGGGGCGACCUUGAGCGGAUCCCUCAAAGCCGGUCUCAGUUCGGAUCGGAGUCUGCAACCCGACUCCGUGAAGCUGGAUUCGCUAGUAAUCGCGCAUCAGCCAUGGCGCGGUGAAUACGUUCCCGGGCCUU
rnacentral:rRNA from 1 species